AGAUAUGAACUCCAUGGUCUGAACCAUUCAUGGCAGAAAUUUUGUCUUGGCCAAUCAUUGCUAAUUGGAGCAUAUGCUGUUCACACUCAGAGCAGGCUCUGACGAAGGCACACACCCGCCAGGACAGAUUGAGCUCUGGAAGCAAUCUGGGCAGGGCUGGCGAAGCUGAGGUCUUUUUAGUCUGCUUCCCACCUUGAGAGGGGUGUGGACGUCAAGGAUCUCCUGUGCUCAAGCUCCUUAAGGAGCUGGAGAGCCUGGAAGCUUAUUUAGAAGAGGAAAUGAAACUAUGAAAAGACACAGUAGAUUCCUCUUUUUCUUGGAGGCAAGGCUUGAUCUGAAUAUGAAUAACUCUCCCACCCUGUUCAAUUAACCGCCUCAAGAACAAAUAGAGAAAAUAUACACACUCUAUUUUGAUUUGGAAGAAAUCGAAGAA